AAAAAGAAAAAAAAAGAAAAAAAAGAAAGAAAGGAAAGUGAGAGGCGAGAGCUACAAGACAGAGAUAGAGAUAGAGAUAGAGAGUACAGAGACCCAUCUAAGCCAUCUUGAUCAAAUUUAGAGGCCCGUGUCGCUGUGACGGAGAGAGACAAAAAGUUGUGUCGCUGUGAUGGAGAGAGACAGAGAGCAAGAGAGUGCAAAACCCAGUCUAGUACGGCAGUACCCACGCCAACGAGAGCGAGACCCACGCCGCCAUGCGAGACAAGACCCACUUGCCGCCGCCGGUUGCCGUUGCUCGAUCUACCUAGCUAGCCCAGCUUCGAGCCUUCACAGUUCACAGGCACAAACAAAGGCAAUGUGAUGAAAGCUGAACAUCAAAACUUCACCAACGAAUCAAAAAUACACAAUAAAUGGUCCCAACUCAUUGAAGAACAUCGUUUUGAAUAGCUACUACUAUCUACUAUGAUCGCUCACUUAGUCAUGGUAAUAACAGGUUUUCACAUGAUAUAAUCUGAUCACUUGAGAAAGAACCUUCGCCAUCACGGUUCAAUGCAGCCAGCCUGCUUAGUACACAGUCCAACUCAAUAAGGCAAAAACAUAACUUCGUAUUACAAAGCUGAGCAAAUUAAACACAAUUUCAGCACCAAAAAUGAUGACUUUAUUUGAUAAACGUUUAUGAUAUUACUAUUAUAUAUAUACUCAAAUCAAGUCUCAUAUUCUCAAGUU